UAUAAUGGGAAUUAAGGAAGGCACUUGUAAUGAAUGAUCACCGGAUGUUAUAUGCUAGUGAUGGAUCACUAAAUUCUACCCCCGAAACUAAAACUACACUACAUGUUAACUAACUUGAAUUUAAAUAAAAUCUUGAAAGUAAAGAAAAAAACUUUCCCUUCACUUAUGUCUAUGAAAUUAUGCUUAAGAAUUUAAUUUGCAACAUCAUUUGUUGUUUUCUCUGUGCAUCAACCUUCUUGUUAUAGUUUUGUUUAUGAUAAAUAUUAUGCUGUAAACUAUAUUUUAAUAAUAUAUACCUUGUUGAUUCAUUUGUAAUAGUUUGUUUCUGAAGUUGAAAUGUCCUAGUCAGUGGAAAAAUGUUAGCUGUAGCUUUCUCUCUACAGAAACUGUGACUCUGGACCCCAAAUGUAAGUUGGGCCCUCAGGAUGAAAAUACAUAAUUAUUUUUUAUUGUAUUUAUUUCGUCCAUUUUAUUUACUGUUUAAAGUAAGGAUUUACUGUUUUUGCUCAUAAGAACAGCCAUUCUGGUACAGGAGUAUGCCCUGCUGUGAUGCAAUUCUAUACUCAUAUUAAAUCCAGGUACCCCCUAAAGUGUUACAAGUCUUUCCCAGUUAUCCUUGUCAAAAGCAGAAAGCACAUAUAUUUACAGUGCUAUUAACAUUCUAUCAAAGUGUAGGUGUAAAUGCUCAUAUCUACCCUGCCUUGCAUUGGUUACCUCUGUUAAUAUUAAUAGCACAUAAUCAUAAGCAACUUGAUUUCCAAAUCAUAUGUAAUCUCCAAAAAUAUAAAACCACACAAUAAAAUAAAUCAAUACUCCCAAUUUUUUUCUAUUCCUCUUUUAAUGGUCACCAAGUCUGUAGAUAAUAAAAGCAAGAAGAGAACAAUGUGAUAUGAUUUAAUAUAAUAAAUAUAAUAUUGUGUACAUAUAACUAUAUUAAUACAAUUCAGUGUUUAGUAAAUAUGUUUAGUAAAGACAAAUGUCUUUACCAGAAGAGCAUGUUUCAUGAGGUAUUUAGAAAAUAUGGUAGGGGCAGCUGAGUGGCUCAGUCAGUUAAGUGUCCAACUUUGUCUCAGGUCAUGAUUUCAUGGUUCAUGAGUUCGAGUCCUACAUUGGGCUCUCUGCUGUCAGCACAGAGCCUGCUUUGGAUUCUCUGUCCACCUCUCUGUCUGCCCCUCCUCUGCCCAUGCAUACUCUCUCACUCUGUCUCUCAAAAAUAAACAUUUAGAAAAAAAGAAAAUAUGAUAGUGACUUGCCCAAUGAACCUAUGAGAAAUUAUUAAGUUGCUAAGGUGAGUAGUUUUAUAUUUAUGUUUGUUUUUUCCACUGUUUUUUUUUGGCAACUCUUCUAGAAAGUGGCACUCAUUUUAUUUGUUUUAUGAGAUGUUUCUACUGUAAAUUACUGUGUCAUCUUUACCUGUUUGUUAAAAUAACCAAGAAUCUGUUUUAAGCCCACAGAUUUAUUGCUAAAUUAUAACUCUAUCCCUGUGUCUCUUAUACUUAAAACACAUUAGGUUUCUACAUAACAUUUCUCUAUCAAUCCACAUUAGAAGGCUCACUAUUGUGUCAAAUUUUAGUGUGGUUAUUAUACCUGAUAUAGUAAUCCACAGAAGUGGAGUGUGAACUUUGAUUUGUUUCUAUCAUUUUACUAGAUGCUGUAGACACAAUCCCCAAUCACUCAAAACCUACACAAUCAUCUUAACCUAUGUCAGUCAGUUUAUCACACAAGAUCAACUACUUGAUAGACUUUUGCUAUGAAUUACAUAUAAUAUUUUACUUGAAUUUAGCCAAGUUAAUAAAAUAGUUCCCACAAAACUUUUGGAUUCCAAAGUAGUUAGGAUGAUGGUACAGAGUCUAUUGACCUGCUUGGACUGAAUAUCAACCAAAUUCAUGUGUUGAAGCCCUAAUCCCCAAUUGUCUGCCUUUGGAGAUAGAGCCUUUAGGAGAUAAUUAAGGUUCAAUUAGGUCAUAAAGGUGAGGCUCUAAUCUGACAAGACUGAUGGCCUUAUAAGAAGAAAAGAGAAGUCUCUCUCCACAUCCAUGUGCUCAGAGGAAAGGUGGUGUGAGUACUGCGGCAAGAAGGCAGCUAUCUGAAAGUGAGGAAAAGAGUUAUCAGCAGAAACUAAACCCUGCCAGAAAGUAAUCUGAACUUCCAGCCUCCAGAAUUGUGAGAAAUAAGUUUUUUGGUUUUUUUUUAAAUGCCACCCAGCCCAUGAUAUUUUGUAAUGGUGGUCUUAGCAGACUAAUACAUGAUUUAUACCCAAUAGUGCCAAAAUUCUGUAAAGUUGGUGAUUUGUAUUACCUAGUUGACACACACUGAAAUAAAAUUGACAAUGAAAAUGGUCUUUCAAUUUUGAAAUCUCUCAGCAAUUUGAAUUAUUGAUCUUAUCACAGAUUUUUAUGUCUGAUUUAUAUUUAAGUAAUGCAUUUCAAUAAAUUGCUAUUUUAGUCACUGCAAACAAUGACUUGCUUACAAUAGUACAGAUGUACAGAAAUAAUAUAUGAAACAUUUAUCAACCUCAUGUAUGGCAUGCGCAUUAGUCAAUUAAAAUGGACGUCCAACCAAUGAGAACAGAAAAUAGCUGCUAUUUUAAGCUUACCCAUUGAGUGUCAGAUCUGCCUACUCAUACAUCAGUAUGAUUUUUUAAAUGAGUGAUAGUACCAACAAUAGUUGAUGCAGUGAGUCUUCUGAGUCAUUUCUUUGAAAUAAUUUUAUAGUUCUUCUUCUAUAAAUGGUUUGUGAAUAAACCUGACUUAUUUAUGGAAUAUAGUGCAUUAUAAGAGUUACAACAAGGUAAGUUUGAGAUGAGGUGCCUCUUUUUAAAAUUUUUUUUAAUGUUUAUUUAUUUUUGAGAGAGAGAGAGAGUGCAAGUGGGGGAGAGGCAGAGAGAGAGCGAAACACAGACUCUGAAGCAGGCUCCAGGAUCUGAGCUGUCAGCACAGAGCCCGAUGUGGGGCUCAAACCCACAAACUGUGAGAUCAUGACCUGAGCCAAGUCUGAUGCUUAACCAACUGAGCCACGCAGGCACCCUAAGAUGAGGUGCCUCUUGAAGAGAGUAACUAAAUAUUUUGAAAAGAAAAAUGCACAUGCUCGCUGAAUGCAUUGACUUGUAAAUGGAAAAAAAGAAAAGCCUGUCUAGUGCCUUUCCAAAGAAGACAUCCAGAUGGCCAACAGACACAUGAAGAGAUGCUCAACAUCACUCAUCAUCAGGGAAAUACAAAUCAAAACCACAUUGAGAUACCACCUCACACUGGCCAGAGUGACUGAAAUUAACAACUUAAGAAACAACAGAUGUUGAUGAGGAUAUGGAGAAACAGGAACCCUCUUGCAUUGUUGGUGGGAAUGCAAACUGGUACAGCCAUUCUGGAAAACAGUGUGAAGUUUCCUCAAAAAAUUAAAAAUACAAUUACCCUACAAUCCAGCAAUAGCACUACUAGGAAUUUAUUUAAAGGAUACAGGAGUGCUGAUUCAUAGGGGCACAUGUACCCCAAUGUUUAUAGCAGCACUUUCAACAAUAGCCAAAUUAUAUCCAUCAACUGAUGAAUGGAUAAAGAUGUGAUUUAUAUAUACAGUGGAAUGCUACUUGGCAAUGAGAAGGAAUGAAAUCCUGCCAUUUGCAACAAUGUGGAUGGAACUUGAGGAUAUAAUGCUAAGUAAAAUAAGUCAGUCAAAGACAGAUAUCAUAUAUUUUCACUCAUAUAUGGAAUUUGAGAAACUUAACAGAAGACCAUGGGGGAAGAGAAAGGGGAAAAAUAGUUUCAAACAGAGAGAGAGACAAACCAUAACAGACUCUUAAAUACAGAGAACAAACUAAAGGCUGAUGACAGGGAGAGAGGGAGACAGGAAAAUGGGUGAUGGGCAUUGAGGAGGGCACUUGUUGGGAUGAGCACUGGGUGUUGUAUGUAAGUGAUGAAUCAUGGGAAUCUUCUCCCAAAUCCAAGAGCACACUGUAUACACUGUAUGUUAACUAACUUGUUAAUAUAUUAUAUUAAAAAAAAUAAAAGCUUGUCUAAGAAUUUUCUUAGAAUGAUUAUUUUUAAUGGCAAGGAUGACUGGAACUAUGUAUUUAUUGACCAGAGAAAGUAUGAAUUGUGCUCUCUCCACACAAUGGAAUAUGGUACGUAAAGUAAAUUUGAGGGAAAAACAGUAUAUACAAAAAUAGAAGUAAAUAUUAGAAAGUAAAUAUAAUAAAUCUUAUAAAGUGUUAUUAUACUUUAUACAUUGUUUUGUAUGCCUCAAAUAUUAGAUGCUGCUUUUUAAGAGGAAUAGCUCAAUGACUUAAAAACGGUUAAGAAUUUACAAAUAAAUAACAUCACUAAGAAUCACUGUAAAUCCUUUUACUACUAACUUGUAAUCCUCUUAUACAAGGCCUGUGAACACCAAAUCCUUGGAAAGAGGCUUUUAUAAGCUUUGUAUGUAGCCUUAGACAUAAUAAGAAAUAUGUUUUCUUAAUACAUCAAAUUGAUUCUGUGCUUGAAAAUAUGAUACCCUUUGAAAUAAAUAAAAUAUGGCAGUAUAUUAUUAGAA